rnacentral:lncRNA from 1 species
AAAAAAAAAAAAUCAUGGUUUGAAAAUUUAUUACAAAUCGCACAAAAUUAAACGUUGUUCACCCCUACUAAAAUCAAUGAUAUGUUUUCCAUAUGGUGCAUGCACCUACAAAAUGGAUGAAAAAAACAUGUUAAACCCGAUACUUAUUGGUUUCGUCUUGAACGGGAUGAGGAUUCUCCACGUAAUUAGGUACUCAAGAUAGGGAAGUGAUGAUGGACGUCUCUUUGAGUCGAGGAUGGGAUUAGGCCAAGGAUGGGGAUGAGGAACAUGGUAACUGUCCCGCAACCUAUCCCAUUUAAAUUAAAAAAAAAAAAAAAGGAUUAACAAUAGAAUACCCCUAGAAACGUUUUCAAGUGCGAUAUACCCCCUUACCUAUUGGAAAAUCACAGAAAACCCCUUAAGUGAAACCUUGUCGUAUUUAGGCAAUUAAGGACUCGAGACGAGGAGCAACAAUUACUGUUCUCUUGAUAAAGGGUAGGGGCUACUUCUUUUCGUCUUUUUAAUUCCUUUCAAGGCCUAACUGCACAACCUUUUUUGUGUGAAAACCCCCUACAAGUUCAAUUUCGUUAAUUCAACUGUUAAAAACAGUAAAAAUUAUCAAAUAAUUGAAUUUGUGGUCCCAAACUUUUUAUUUUUUUAUUUUUGCAAAUUACACCAAAAUCUUUUAUUUGUAUCACCCACAAUCCCAAACCUUUAAAACUUUAUCCUUUU